AUGAGGCGCCCCAAUCCACCUUCCAUCAGCUCCCCGUGCGCUCGCAGCGCCGAGUCCUACCCCCGGUGGCCCGGUCGUGGGAAGGACACGCUCGCCCCUCAAAGACAUCUUCCUGGUGUCCCCGCAACGGCGAACGCAUCUGUGUGGUGCAGGGGUUCUUCAGCUUCGGACGCGGGCCUCUCGACGAGGAGUACGUCUCCUGUUUCUCCUCUCACGGGGCAGUGCAUAGACGCGGAGUUUUGUUUGGCGAGCGCAACUAUCGAUGAGAAACGGCGAGGCAACUCAGCGGCCAGGUCUUGCUGCAGGGUAGUGAAGGAUUGA
rnacentral:rRNA from 1 species